GGCGAACGCUGGCGGCGUGCUUAACACAUGCAAGUCGAACGGAAAGGCCCAGCUUGCUGGGUGCUCGAGUGGCGAACGGGUGAGUAACACGUGGGUGAUCUGCCCCUAACUUCGGGAUAAGCUUGGGAAACUGGGUCUAAUACCGGAUAGGACAAUCGUUUAGUGUCGGUUGUGGAAAGUUUUUUCGGUUAGGGAUGAGCCCGCGGCCUAUCAGCUUGUUGGUGGGGUAAUGGCCUACCAAGGCGUCGACGGGUAGCCGGCCUGAGAGGGUGGACGGCCACAUUGGGACUGAGAUACGGCCCAGACUCCUACGGGAGGCAGCAGUGGGGAAUAUUGCACAAUGGGCGCAAGCCUGAUGCAGCGACGCCGCGUGGGGGAUGACGGCCUUCGGGUUGUAAACCUCUUUCGACAGGGACGAAGCUUUGGUGACGGUACCUGUAUAAGAAGCACCGGCUAACUACGU
rnacentral:rRNA from 1 species